GGGAGUCAAAGUCGGCCAAACCAUGUAAUAAAAAAUAAAAAUAUCAAGUUUUAUCCUUAUCUUUAUAUGAGUAUAAAUACACCCAUAUCCAUUGCCAUAGAGAUAUUUCCUUCAUUUUACAAAACACUUAUACACUUAAAAAGAGAGCAAAAACCGAAAUCAAGAAAGGAAAGAAGAAGGAAGAAAGUUUAGCACUUUCAAUUCAUUUCAAUCAAAGAUCUUCAAGUUUUACGGUAAGAUACUUCUAUGCUUAAGAGUUAUGAUUUUCAUGGUAAUAUUUAUGCUUAAGUUAUGCAUGAAAAACCAAAGUAUGUUAAUGGUGGAGAAAUCCACAAAUGUUAUGAUUAUGGUGGAGAAAUCCACAAAUGUUAGAUAUAUCUAUGCCUUAGGACAAGUCCGAAGGGCACCGGCAUGUCGGAAUAUGGAAGUAUGGGUUUGAUUGCUUUCUUUGGUGUAGUAUUAUCAUGAUAAAUGUUCAAG
rnacentral:lncRNA from 1 species